AGCGAACGCUGGCGGCAGGCCUAACACAUGCAAGUCGAACGAACCCUUCGGGGUUAGUGGCGGACGGGUGAGUAACACGUGGGAACGUGCCUUUAGGUUCGGAAUAACUCAGGGAAACUUGUGCUAAUACCGAAUGUGCCCUUCGGGGGAAAGAUUUAUCGCCUUUAGAGCGGCCCGCGUCUGAUUAGCUAGUAGGCGAGGUAAAGGCUCACCAAGGCUACGAUCAGUAGCUGGUCUGAGAGGAUGACCAGCCACAUUGGGACUGAGACACGGCCCAAACUCCUACGGGAGGCAGCAGUGGGGAAUCUUGCGCAAUGGGCGAAAGCCUGACGCAGCCAUGCCGCGUGGAUGAUGAAGGUCUUAGGAUUGUAAAAUCCUUUCACCGGUGAAGAUAAUGACUGUAGCCGGAGAAGAAGCCCCGGCUAACUUCGUGCCAGCCGCCGCGGUAAGAC
rnacentral:rRNA from 1 species